UCUUAUCUCCAAUAGCUGGCUUAGAACACGCACCGUGUACCUAAAAGUUUCAAAAGGCAGGAAACAGAAGAGAGAGGAUUCUAGACGAGAGAAAAAAAAAAGGAGCACAACCGGCAGGCGGCAUGCCAAGAAAGGAAAGGAAACCCGUGUCCCAAACCCAUAUCAUGAGCCACAUAUCACUGGACUGUCUCGCACUGUCAACACCUAAUAAUCCCCCACCUCCCUAUCG
rnacentral:lncRNA from 1 species